rnacentral:lncRNA from 1 species
AUGUAUUGUGCUUCCGCCUUCUCAGGGUGGGCAGGGCAGCCCCUUGUUUUCAAACUUGGAAGAAACUUUCCCCCUUGGGUACUGGAAGCCCUGCCAGCAAGGGAGGACAAGCCCAGGAAUCCCCGCCCCAGAGAGCGUCCCCAGGGCCAGGGGCACUGCAGCCCUCAGAGGGGAUCAUCUUCCUCCACACCCACUCUCACCCCUCCUGGCUCGCCGCCUGCUGCAGGGCUCCUUCCCAGGCACAAGGCAGUCCUUGGCGGAAGGUGCCGCACGGUGGACCAGCCUCCCUCACAGUGCGACUCCACCACCUUCGCUCUCUGCUCUCAGCACAUCCCGGCCUCCAGGCACUGCCAGCCAUGGCACCAUGGAAACCCGGAAAUUCCAGAUCCAAGAGCACUGAUUUACGGCUUCAAUCAUCGCCUGCCAAAUACAGUCCCGGCUGAGGGCCAGCUGAUCCAGAACAGGUAUCGCACAUUCUCCUAAGUCACACCAUCCCAGCCCCGAAGUGAAGAGUUUCAUUCACAGGAAACCAUUUUCUGAAAUCAGCAAAUGCGUUUUAUAAAGAACCAGUAAAGAAUCAAGGGUUGGGGAGGGGCGUCCACUAUAAAGAUCGCUUAAUACAAGAAUACAAGAAUGUCUCUGCUGACACGUGGUAAGCUCUGUGGCUUUUAGUACUUUUAUUAGGCCUCUUUCCCACACCCCAGGUUUAACUCUCGUCGUCCUCUGUCCAGGUAGCUUUCUGGGAACUGAUUCUGCAGGGCUCGCAGCCUGGACAGAACACUCUCAGUGAACCUGUUAUUCCCACAACUCCUGCUAAGGCCUGUUUGCUGUUUAUUGACACAAAAUAUUGUGUGUGGGCCACUUUGACAUAUUCCUUCGGGUUUCCAUGCAACAUGAGGCCCUUCCAGCAUUGAAUUAUUGCUCUAGAUCUAUUGUGUAUAAGACCCAAAAAGAAUAAGAAGAAGCAGCUGCUAAGGAAAUGGCUAAUCCCUCGUCUGAUAUCCAAGGACAAGGACUAGAAAUGCCACCACCCCCCAGUACAUUCCUCCCAUCACCUUGUUAAAAACAGCGAAAUAACACAAUAAUUUUGCUUCUUCCCAAAGCUUCAUUUGUGCCUGGAAAAAUGUAUGCAGUAACUGGUAAAAUCAGAAUAUCUAGGUGAUUUCUAGCCUAAUGAGAAAGAAGAGACUAAGCAUUUGAACAAGGUAUUCAUCUUGAGCAUAUUUAAUAUACUUUCAUGUGUGAAGUAUCUUUUUGCUAUUUUAUUUUUUAUUUUUUUAAGUUAGUCUGUGAAAGUGAACCCUUUGUUCAUCACUAGAAGAGUUCAUGAAUGUCUUUACAAACGGGAAAUUUUCACGCAAAGAUGGUGGCUUUUGACUUGCUUAAAAAGGCAAAUAUUUCUUCGAUUAGAAACUCAUUGAAAGCCUACUAUUUGGCAUAAAAAAGCACGGGGUACCUCUGCACUCUCAAAAUGGGGGGCAAG